CUCCCCGUUGGCGGUGGCAGGCGACCGGGAGACUUCAGUGCAUUGAACAAGAUCCAUCUAUUGCACAAGAGGCUUUGGACAGGAUCAACUAAGAAAAAAUCCCCACCGUGUGCUGACGUGCAAUUCAUCUUGAUUGAUUCUAGUGGCAUUGAAGAUUCGCAGGAAGGGAACAACGGGCAGCCCCCCAGCCUCACAAAGAAGCUUUCCACCCGCCAUCCUUCCCAAGAUUUGAUAUUAGAAAAUGAAGACAUGAAAUGGCUGCCUAAAGCGCAGCUACAAUGAGGGGCAUUGAAGCUCCGGGGAAAAAACUGAUGGAAAAAAAAUCGAUUUCGU